rnacentral:rRNA from 1 species
UACGUAGGGUGCGAGCGUUAAUCGGAAUUACUGGGCGUAAAGGGUGCGCAGGCGGUUAUAUAAGACAGAUGUGAAAUCCCCGGGCUCAACCUGGGAACUGCGUUUGUGACUGUAUGACUAGAGUACGGUAGAGAGGGGUGGAAUUCCUGGUGUAGCAGUGAAAUGCGUAGAUAUCAGGAGGAACAUCGAUGGCGAAGGCAG